CACCGCUUCCUUCGCCUGGCCUACAGCCCCAUGCGCAGGCGCCUUGCUAAAUUUCUGUUUGGUGGCGCGCUGCGUCCUGGGACUUGUAGUCCUGUCCUGUAAAGGCCACGCAGGUUCCAGGCGUUCUGAGUUCCGCUGGCCCUUCGGCCAGUCCUCAUAGGUGGGCUUCACAGUCCCUGGGAGUCGUCAGUUAUUUGCCCUUCUCUUCCUGAAAAUGUUUCUCUGAGAGCUGACAGAAUGACACUUGGUCCCCAGAAAAGGCGGCCUCACCUAUAAGGUAUUUGAAGUCGGGAGAGGAAGAGGGCUUGGAGAAUACAUACAGUCAGAAAGUUUUUCUCUUUGCAGAUUAAUCUCCUUGUGAAAUCAGCACUCUACUUCGAGAUACAGGAUUGCACUUCAGACUUGCCACCGCCCUUUUAAAGUUCAUCAUGCUUUUCUUUGCAUCAGACAGGGUUUCUCGGUGGCUUUGGAGGAUGCCCUGGAACUAGCUCUUGAGACCAUCUCAA